GACGAACGCUGGCGGCGUGCCUAAUACAUGCAAGUCGAACGCAGUGGGGACGGGUGAGUAACACGUGGGUAACCUCCCAUCAGAGGGGAUAACACUUGGAAACAGGUGCUAAACCGAUACUGAUGGAUGGACCCGCGGUGCAUUAGCUAGUUGGUGAGGUAACGGCUCACCAAGGCCACGAUGCAUAGCCGACCUGAGAGUGGAAUCGGCCACACUGGAACUGUGACACGGCCCAGACUCCUACGGAAGGCAGCAGUAGGAAAUCUUCGGAAAUGGACGAAAGUCUGACCGAGAAGCGCCGCAUAGGGGAAGAGGGUUUUCGGAUCGUAAAACUCUGUUGUUGGAAAAACGGUAUCUAACCAGAAAGCCACGGCUAACUACGUGCCAGCAGCCGCGGUAAUUC
rnacentral:rRNA from 1 species